ACUUUAAUUGAAGAGUUUGAUCAUGGCUCAGAUUGAACGCUGGCGGCAGGCCUAACACAUGCAAGUCGAGCGGUAACAGAAAGAAAGCUUGCUUUCUUUGCUGACGAGCGGCGGACGGGUGAGUAAUGCCUGGGAAUAUACCUGAUGUGGGGGAUAACUAUUGGAAACGAUAGCUAAUACCGCAUAAUCUCUUCGGAGCAAAGAGGGGGACCUUCGGGCCUCUCGCGUCAGGAUUAGCCCAGGUGGGAUUAGCUAGUUGGUGGGGUAAUGGCUCACCAAGGCGACGAUCCCUAGCUGGUCUGAGAGGAUGAUCAGCCACACUGGAACUGAGACACGGUCCAGACUCCUACGGGAGGCA
rnacentral:rRNA from 1 species